ensembl:lncRNA
UAAUGAGGAACAGGUUUUUUACAAUUUAUUUAAAUUUGGGGGAAAUUCGGCCACAUAGCUCAGAACAACGGCUUCAGUUGGUCAGCGGGGGCUCACUGUUGUUUUCUGCACACACACACACACACACACACACACACACACACACACACACACACACACACACUACUGUUCCUUUCCUAAAAAAAACAGCCAUUUUAAAUCGCAUCGAAAUCAGGGCAUCAUCAAGGAAAAGAUGAUGCACAGGUUCAGUAUUAAAUUAGCUUGCUUGUCAUUUCACCAGAUUCACAACAGCCACAUUUCCAGAUGUCGUUUAUGAUUCAUAUCCUCAUUUGAUUUCUCAUUAAAGCUGCACUGGAAUUGUGGCAGGACGUCAAAGAAGAACCCAAAUGGCACCAAAGUGAAUAAAUAACUAGUGUAGAAGAGUCCCUGUUGUGUGUGUCAGCGGACUGAGUGGAGUGAUCCACCCAACAGAAACAGAAAUGCGCGAUUCCACGCAGGCGAACGGAGCUCAGUCGUUGUGUGAGGACGUCGCACGCUGGGAAGAUAGAAGCUAUUCUAAAGACCAAAGGCAACAAUGCAUCCAUGAAUCUUUCCAGUAGGGUUGUGGCUUUGCGUUUGAAAGGAUUUAUGGGAAGGGGAAGUGGGAGGGUCACAGAAGGCCCCGCCCACGCAGGAGCGUGACCUUUGCCUCCGUAAAGGUCCGCUGUUGCAUUGUGGGCUUUGCAGUUAUGCUAACAGCGUGUUUGAGGUUUUCAAUGCACUAGUUUCAAUUCAGAUAUUCAUAAUGUGUGUUUUUUUUUUCCAUUUUUGUAUAAAUCAAGUUUCAAUUUUGGAAAAUGUAAAAAAAAAAAGACUUUUUACAUGCAAUUGGAAUAGUUUCCUUUUGUUAACGUGUGAAUACGAACAUCUCCUGACGCCUUAUGAUCACAGCUGUGAACAUAUGCGGUGAUAUUUUUUUUUAUCACAUUCUCGUCACUGCGGUUGGAGGGUGUUCACACGUGAGG